CUCUCCCCCACAGAAACACUGCUCGUGAACUGCCUGAAACGCCUUGCUUGAAGUCCCGCCUUUUCUUCCGUAACGUGGUGAUGUCACCAAGUAACACAUCAGCAUAAUACCUGUCUAGCGCUUAGUUUGGCACACCCUCAAACAAAGCACUGACCUAUCAGAGCAGACUGGGCUUUUCUGGAGGGGAAG